CGGAGGAUCCAAGCGUUAUCCGGAUUUAUUGGGUUUAAAGGGUGCGUAGGUGGCCUAUUAAGUCAGGGGUGAAAGACGGUAGCUUAACUAUCGCAGUGCCUUUGAUACUGAUGGGCUUGAAUACAGUUGAAGUAGGCGGAAUGUGACAAGUAGCGGUGAAAUGCAUAGAUAUGUCACAGAACACCGAUUGCGAAGGCAGCUUACUAAAGUGUGAUUGACACUGAGGCACGAAAGCGUGGGAUCAAACAGGAUU
rnacentral:rRNA from 1 species